AACAUCGCGCACCUGCGGGAACCUGCGGAAGGAUCAUUACAGAGUGUAAAAACUCCCAAAACCCAUGUGAACAUACCUUUUUGUUGCUUCGGCGGGAUCGCCCCGGGCGCCUUGUGUGCCCCGGAGUCAGGCGCCCGCCGGGGGACCCAAACUCUUGUUUUUAACGAGUAUCUUCUGAGUAACGUUUUUAAAUAAAUAAAAACUUUUAGCAAUGGAUCU
rnacentral:misc_RNA from 1 species